AUGGCGGCGGCAAGCGUCUCCCUGAAGAGCAGCCUCUUCCUGUCUUCCCCUCUAUCCGACUUCGGGGGCGCAGCCAUCUCCAUCUCAGCCCAGAAUAGGAGAAGGUCAUGGCAGCCAAGGGGGGCGAGAAUGCAGGUGGCAGCAGCUGCAGACUCCAAGAACAUUCUCAUCAUGGGGGGCACCAGGUUCAUCGGUCUCUUCCUCUCCAGGAAACUUGUCCAGGAGGGACACCAGGUGACAUUGUUCACCAGAGGAAAGGCACCCAUAACCCAGCAGUUGCCAGGUGAAUCAGAUGCAGAGUAUGCAGAGUUCUCUUCCAAGGUGCUGCAUUUGAAAGGUGAUAGGAAAGACUUUGAUUUCGUGAAGACCAGCCUUGCUGCUAAGGGCUUCAAUGUCGUCUAUGAUAUUAAUGGGCGCGAGGCCACUGAAGUAUCCCCCAUACUAGAAGCGUUGCCGAACCUGGAACAGUUUAUCUAUUGUUCAUCGGCAGGAGUCUACCUUAAAUCAGACCUGCUCCCACACUUUGAGACCGACGCUGUGGACCCGAAAAGCCGGCACAAGGGAAAGCUGGAGACGGAGAGCCUGCUGGAGACGAGCGGCGUGAACUGGACGUCCAUCAGGCCGGUCUAUAUCUACGGCCCUCUCAACUACAACCCUGUGGAGGAGUGGUUCUUCCACCGGCUCAAGGCCGGUCGCCCGAUCCCCAUCCCUAAUGCUGGGAACCAGAUCACCCAGCUCGGCCACGUCAAGGAUUUGGCGACGGCCUUCAUCAAGGUCCUCGACAACCCCAAGGCAAGCAAGCAGGUGUACAACAUCUCCGGCAGCAAGUACGUCACCUUUGACGGGCUUGCGCGGGCAUGCGCAAAGGCUGGAGGGUUCCCUGAGCCGGAGAUCAUCCACUACAACCCCAAGGACUUCGAUUUCGGCAAGAAGAAGGCCUUCCCCUUCAGAGACCAGCACUUCUUCGCGUCGGUGGAGAAGGCCAGCAAGGACCUCGGGGUUACGCCGGAGUACGACCUCCUUGACGGCUUGACGGACUCGUACAACCUCGACUUCGGCCGCGGGACCUUCAGGAAGGAGGCCGACUUCACCACGGACGACAUGAUCCUCGGCAAGAAGCUCGUGAGCGUGUGA
rnacentral:rRNA from 1 species